rnacentral:rRNA from 1 species
UACAGAGGGUGCGAGCGUUAAUCGGAAUUACUGGGCGUAAAGGGCGCGUAGGCGGUAAGACAUGUGUGAUGUGAAAGCCCCGGGCUUAACCUGGGAAGUGCAUCGCAAACUGUCUAACUGGAGUAUAUGAGAGGGUGGCGGAAUUUCCGGUGUAGCGGUGAAAUGCGUAGAGAUCGGAAGGAACGUCAAUGGCGAAGGCAGCCACCUGGCAUAAUACUGACGCUGAGGCGCGAAAGCGUGGGGAGCGAACAGG